UGGGGAAUUUUGGACAAUGGGCGAAAGCCUGAUCCAGCAAUGCCGCGUGUGUGAAGAAGGCCUUCGGGUUGUAAAGCACUUUUGUCCGGAAAGAAAUCCUUGGCUCUAAUACAGUCGGGGGAUGACGGUACCGGAAGAAUAAGCACCGGCUAACUACGUGCCAGCAGCCGCGGUAAUACGUAGGGUGCAAGCGUUAAUCGGAAUUACUGGGCGUAAAGCGUGCGCAGGCGGUUUGCUAAGACCGAUGUGAAAUCCCCGGGCUCAACCUGGGAACUGCAUUGGUGACUGGCAGGCUAGAGUAUGGCAGAGGGGGGUAGAAUUCCACGUGUAGCAGUGAAAUGCGUAGAGAUGUGGAGGAAUACCGAUGGCGAAGGCAGCCCCCUGGGCCAAUACUGACGCUCACGCACGAAAGCGUGGGGAGCAAACAGGAUUAGAUACCCUGGUAGUCCACGCCCUAAACGAUGUCAACUAGUUGUUGGGGAUUCAUUUUCCUUAGUAACGUAGCUAACGCGUGAAGUUGACCGCCUGGGGAGUACGGUCGCAAGAUUAAAACUUAAAUGAAUUGACGGGGUCAUAGCUGUUUCCU
rnacentral:rRNA from 1 species